CAUAUUCUGAUACAGUUCUUUUCUCUUAUAUGUGCAUGUAGUUACUGUGUUGAAAAUUUACUAAGGGAAACAGCUGCAGUAUAGUUCAUCAUUUGGUAAUUAUACGGAGGAGCCAAGAUACUAACAUCCUCAUAAGCAAAAUAUAGGUAAGAUCUAAGCCAAUAUAAAAGAACGAGCAUUGUUAGAAAAAUGUUUUAAAUUACAUAUUUACAAACUAAGAAAAUUAUAUUAGAAAAUACAUUACCAUUUUAAUAUACCAUUGUGAUAUGUCUUGAGUGCUUUGUGGUGGCCAGAACAUGAUCUGUAAAACAUAAAACACAAAAAAAAGCCCUGUCUGAGGUUUCCCGGAAGCUUAACGCAGAAGCUUUUUGAUAAAGCUGACUUAUAUCUUCACAAAUCACUCUAAUUAAUGUUAGUAGACAAGCAGUCUGACUGUGACCUGCAGCUAUUGAGACCCUCUGCCAAGAAAUAGGCUCUGUUCCAAACAGUCCAUACCGGUGCAUUGCAUAUAUUGGUAAUUAGCAUUGCAUGCACAUUGAUCUGCCAGACUACUCAUAUUACAGAAUCACUUUUAGUGCUUUCAGUAGCCUUUGGAGUUUUAAAAGCAUACAACUGUGAUGAAUUACAGAAUAAUGAAACCACACACAUUUAUACAUUUUUUACGAAUUUUGCAUUAAAGUCCUUCUUGAACAAUAAAUUUUCUUACAGUUUGCUCACUUGUCAUUAGGAUUAGCGCUGUACAAUGCUUCUUGGAAUUAGGCAAAAAGAUUAUUGCACAGCUUCACCUUUUUUAAAGUUUGCAAAAGUAUCAAAUAUAAGUUAUAUUUCAACCGUGUGGUUCAUUUUAACUGCUUGUCUGUUACAGAAUUGUCAUUUCAAUCUCUUUGAAAUUAGUGGAAUGAAAAUCUAGCUUGUUUCACACAGGAUGUGUGAUAAGCUUCAAGAGAAGGAAUGGAGGAAAAAAAUCUACCCAAAGGUAUUUUCAGAGGAACUAAAAGAAUAUUAUUUGUACAGAAAUCUAAAAUGUAUCAAAUUUCAGCUUAUUUGAAGUUCCUCUAAAUAAAGCUUUCUUCCUCACAUUCUUUGGUUGGUGUUGCUCUUGAAUCUUGUACACAGACCUUUGGCAGUUAUUUAAAUUAACAGCUGUUCAACUGGAAUUAUGGAAAUCUGGUGAAUUUUCUCCUGUAAUACAUAAAGGUCCCGUACUUUCCUCAAAGGGCUGACUUUUAUCAAAAAUCAGGUAAGUGCCUCUUUAAAUGCUUUCAUGGAGGGUUUCACUCUAGCAAGUUCUAACAAGUUAUCUCAUGCAAUUUUACGCCUGUCACCUCACUAUGUACAUACCACUCCUGUCUGCCUCCACACACAUUGUGCACUUGCCAGUGGCGAAGGUACUUGUGUGUGUUGGUAACUUGAGAGACUUGCACCACUGGCAUCAUUUGUGAAGUCCAGUUGUAUGUUAUGUCAAUGGCUGCUAGCUUAUACUUAGGUAUUCAUAGUAUGCUUAACGGGAGGAAAAUGAAAAAGAACAAAUGUACAAUAAGAGCUCAUAUCUGUCACAGGUAACACUUCAUUGCAAAUGCACACUCACAUCCAUAAAUGUAUUGUUUAUACAUCAGAACCUGUCUGAUUGACUGUUGUCUUAAUUUGCAGCUAUAAGCUACACAGGCAACCCAUCCUUAGUGCCAUGCCAUUUUAAUUUUUGAGGGAGUGCUUCACUUUCCCUAAUGCCCUGUGCAGCAAAGCAUCUUGCCAUUGUUCAUUGUGGGAAUGAAACACGUUGGAACAUGCACAUUCAGUUGAAAAUGUGAACUUUUAAUGAACAAUAGCAAAUUGAUACAGGUGAUGUGGUGAUGCCACUGCAUGUCUGGUACUAACCUUUGUUCACUGUGAGUGCAUUUGAUUACUAUCCAUGGAGAGCACCUUGAGAUUUGGGGAAAUAUGUCCAAGAUGGAGCUCAUUGAAUGCUUACCUCCGCCAUCAUGCAAAUGUAUCUUCACAACAAUAUCCCAUCAUGUUCCAAAGCCACUAUCCCCCUUGUCCCUUCAUCUACACAAUGUAGCAUUGGCAAACCACCAGCAUUAUAUGUUAUCAUUUUUGCUGUCAAUACAAUUGCCAUAUUACUUCAGCCAUAGGACUUGACUUUUGAGCUUAGGGGUACUUUUAACUAGUCAUACACACCUAUGACUAUCAUGCACCGGCCAGAUCAUUUUUGAUAUGUUGGCCACUCCAGUGGAGCCUUGUCCUAGAGCCGAGAAAAGAUGUGCCACAUCAUUGUAGCAUGUUGUAUCCCUCACAACAGGAACUACCGAAGUGGAAUGUCCUGGAUGCAGAUGAAAUGUGGAGUUGAUAGCAAGUCAUGAGGAUGAAAAUGAGGAGCAGGAAGGCUGUCCAAGCUUAAUAAUAUUCUUCCUGCAACGGGGAGACCAGAGCUGGACACUGCACGCUGGAAGAGGCCUCACCAAUGUCCUGUACAAGCUCAACAUAACAUUCCAACUUGUAUACUUAAAGGUUUGAGCAAAGAAGGCAAGCAUGCUAAAUGCUUUCUUAACUACCCUAUCUAUAUGUGAUGUUAACUUCAAAGAAUUAUGUACCUGAACUCCUAGAUCUCUCUGUCCUACAAGACUGUCCAAGGCCCUAAUUUUAACUAUGUAACUCUUGUUGUUGUUUGUUUUACCAAAAUGCAAUACCUCGUAUUCAUCCAAAUUAAAGUCUGUUUGUCACUU